rnacentral:rRNA from 1 species
CAAGUCGAACGAGACGGCCCAAUGAAUACUGAGUGCUUGCACGAUGUAGGAUUUGGAUUCCCGUCUAGUGGCGCAAGGGUGAGUAACACGUGGGUAAUCUACCUUCGAGUCUGGAAUAACAGUUAGAAAUGAUUGCUAAUGCCGGAUGAUAUAUAAGAAGAUACGUCAUCUUAUAUUAAAAGGAGCCUUGUAAGCUAUCGCCUGAAGAGGGGUUUGCGUCUGAUUAGGUAGUUGGUGAGGUAACGGCCCACCAAGCCGACGAUCAGUAGCCGGUCUGAGAGGAUGAACGGCCACAUUGGGACUGAGACACGGCCCAGACUCCUACGGGAGGCAGCAGUGGGGAAUCUUCCACAAUGGGCGCAAGCCUGAUGGAGCAACACCGCGUGAGUGAAGAAGGGUUUCGGCUCGUAAAGCUCUGUUGUUGGAGAAGAACGUGCGUGAGAGUAACUGUUCACGCAGUGACGGUAUCCAACCAGAAAGUCACGGCUAACUACGUG